rnacentral:rRNA from 1 species
AACGAACGCUGGCGGCAGGCUUAACACAUGCAAGUCGAGCGCCCCGCAAGGGGAGCGGCAGACGGGUGAGUAACGCGUGGGAAUCUACCCAUCUCUACGGAAUAACGCAUGGAAACGUGUGCUAAUACCGUAUACGCCCUUCGGGAGAAAGAUUUAUCGGGGAUGGAUGAGCCCGCGUUGGAUUAGCUAGUUGGUGGGGUAAAGGCCUACCAAAGCGACGAUCCAUAGCGGUUCGGAGAGGAGGAUCAGCCACACUGGGACUGGGACACGGCCCAGACUCCUACGGGAGGCAGCAGUGGGGAAUAUUGGACAAUGGGCGCAAGCCUGAUCCAGCCAUGCCGCGUGAGUGAUGAAGGCCCUAGGGUUGUAAAGCUCUUUCACCGGUGAAGAUAAUGACGGUAACCGGAGAAGAAGCCCCGGCUAACUUCGUGCCAGCAGCCGCCGUAAAAC